ACUCAAAGGAAUUGACGGGGGCUUGCACAAGCGGUGGAGCAUGUGGUUUAAUUCGACGCUAAGCGAAGAACCUUACCAGGACUUGACAUCUCGGGAACCCUGUAGAAAUACAGGGGUGCCUUCGGGAACCCGAUGACAGGUGCUGCAUGGUUGUCGUCAGCUCGUGCCGUGAGGUGUACCCUUAAGUGGGGUAACGAGCGCAACCCUCGUGUCGUGUUACUAUGUCACGACAGACUGCCUCGGAUAACGGGGAGGAAGGUGGGGAUGACGUCAAAUCAGCAUGGCUCUUACGCCUAGGGCUACACACGUGUUACAAUGGGCAGUUCAAAGGGCCGCCAAGUCGCAAGACGGAGCAAAUCCCAUCAAAACUGUUCUCAGUUCGGAUCGAGGUCUGCAAUUCGACCUCGUGAAGCUGGAAUCGCUAGUAAACGCGCAUCAGCCACGGCGCGUUGAAUACGUUCUCGGGUCUUGUACUCACCGCCCGUCACGUCAAGAGAGCUGGGGGCGCCCGAAGUCAUGCGUUCGUGUGACGAAGGCGAAAUCAGUGAUAGGGACGAAGUCGUAACAAGGCAUCCGUAGCGGAAGCUGUGGAUGGAUCACCUCCUUU
rnacentral:rRNA from 1 species